GGGCAACCUGACCUGUAAGACUGUGGAUAACUCCUGGGAAACCGGGGCUAAUACCGGAUAAUUCUUUCCCUCACAUGAGGGAAAGCUGAAAGAUGGUUUCGGCUAUCACUUACAGAUGGGCCCGCGGCGCAUUAGCUAGUUGGUGAGGUAACGGCUCACCAAGGCGACGAUGCGUAGCCGACCUGAGAGGGUGAUCGGCCACACUGGGACUGAGACACGGCCCAGACUCCUACGGGAGGCAGCAGUAGGGAAUCUUCCGCAAUGGACGAAAGUCUGACGGAGCAACGCCGCGUGAGUGAUGAAGGUUUUCGGAUCGUAUAACUCUGUUGUCAGGGAAGACAAGUAUCGGAGUAACUGCCGGUACCUUGACGGUACCUGACCAGACAGCCACGGCUAACUA
rnacentral:rRNA from 1 species